ACAGAGGGGGCAAGCGUUGCUCGGAAUCACUGGGCGUAAAGGGCGCGUAGGCGGGAUGACAAGUCGGUCGUGAAAUCCCUGGGCUCAACUCAGGGGGGUCGGCCGAUACUGCCAUUCUUGAGGGAUGCGGAGGAGACUGGAAUUCCCGGUGUAGCGGUGAAAUGUGUAGAGAUCGGGAGGAACACCAGAGGCGAAGGCGGCGACCUGGACAGUUACUGACACUCAACUACGAAAGCGUGGGGAGCAAACAGGA
rnacentral:rRNA from 1 species